CACAAAAAUCAAAGGGAAAAAUAAACAUAACUUCUCCUUUUAUGAAAGUAUGAAAAUUAAAAUCUGCAAUUCCCAAACAAAAAUAAAACAAAAGCAAAAGAACGAAGAGUAUUAUGAGUUUGAAUUGGUGAGGUCCGUACCAUGCCAUCCUGCGAUCUCAAAUCUCCUUCAGCCAUGAUCGAUGACUAACGAGAAAGAUGAACUUAAAUCAGGAAAUAUGAAUCGAGUUUUCUCCGCGAGCGAAAGGGAAAUCAAUAGA